rnacentral:rRNA from 1 species
GACGAACGCUGGCGGCGUGCUUAACACAUGCAAGUCGAACGGAAAGGCCUCUUUCGGGGGGUACUCGAGUGGCGAACGGGUGAGUAACACGUGAGUAACCUGCCCUUGACUUUGGGAUAACUUCAGGAAACUGGGGCUAAUACCGGAUAGGAGCUCCUGCUGCAUGGUGGGGGUUGGAAAGUUUCGGCGGUUGGGGAUGGACUCGCGGCUUAUCAGCUUGUUGGUGGGGUAGUGGCUUACCAAGGCUUUGACGGGUAGCCGGCCUGAGAGGGUGACCGGCCACAUUGGGACUGAGAUACGGCCCAGACUCCUACGGGAGGCAGCAGUGGGGAAUAUUGCACAAUGGGUGCAAGCCUGAUGCAGCGACGCCGCGUGAGGGAUGGAGGCCUUCGGGGUGUAAACCUCUUUCGCCAGUGAAGCAGGCCUGCUCCUUGUGGGUGGGUUGACGGUAGCUGGAUAAGAAGCGCCGGCUAACUACGUG